UAAUAGGAUGGAUACGAUCAUGGAUAAGCAUGGCCAAAAUAAUAAAGAGAAAGAGGAUAUUUCCCAAUUUUCAUCAACUUUUUUCAUGAUAUAUUUGCAACUUCGACUCACUUUAAGCUCGACGAAGUUUUUAGGGGUUGUUAUGGGUCGCAUAACUAAUAGUACGAAAACUAUUUUGGAUCAAGAGUUCACUAGCAAAGAUGUUUUUUAUGCCCUCGUAUCUAUGAAAUCCACUUUAAUAUUAGGUCUAAAUGGUAUGCCGACUAUCUUUUUUCAAAAUUAUUGGCAUGUUGUGAUAUCUCUUAGUUGGUGCUUAAUACCCUAAAUCACGAGGGAGGUCCCAACAACAUCAACCAUAACUUCAUUUGCCUCAUUCUGAAAAACAAAUAAGCCUACAAAAAAUUGGUGAAUUUCACCCAAUUCCCUUUUGAAAUGCUGUUUUAAAAAUUGUUGCAAAAGCUAUCACAUAUCAUAUGAAAUUAAUUCUGUUAGAUAUCAUUCAUAUUUUUCGAAGCAUGUUUGUGUCUGGUUGAUUAAUAACAAACAACACGCUGAUAACUUUUGACUAUUUUCAUUGUAUGAGGAAAAACAUCACCAAAAAAAAAAAGGCUUUGCAUGUUUGAAAUUGGACUUGUCAAAAGCUUAUGAUCGAAUUGAGUGGUCAUUCCGGAUGGCCGUUUUGAACAACAUGGAUUUCUGUUAACAUUGGGCAACACUUAUUAUGAAGGUUUUUCUACAGUGUCUUUCUCUAUUUUGCUGAAUGGGACCCCUUGCAAAAAGUUAUCUCUUUAGAGAAGACUAAGACAAGGUGACCCCCUAUGCCUUUAUCUUUUUAUUCUUUGUGCAUAAAUUUUUCAGGACUCCGCACUAAACCACAUGAGAAUAGGGUUACCCAUGGUAUCCAAAUUGUUUGGGGAGCAUCUAUUUUAUGUCACUUGUUUUUUGCAGAUGAUAGCCUUACUUUUUUGCAGAACUACUCAAGCGAAUGUUGAAUCCUUUAAAGUUAUUCUCCAACUCUACCAAGAUGCUUCAUUAAUUUUGUUAAAUUAGAGGUCUAUUUCAACCAAAAUGUGCCUUUAAACAAACAAAAUUGACUUCCUAAGAUCGGUCACUUUUAAGGAAAUAUACUCCCUCAAAAUUUACCUAGGUUUACCAACCUUCGUCGGAAGAUAAAAAAAACAAGCUUUUGUGUUUGUUCAAGAUCAUAUUUAGAAGAAAAUCAAGAGGUAAAAGGAAAAAUGUCUCUCAUCCGCAACAAGGGAGGUGUUUAACAAGUAAACUUGUGGAAGUUGGAGUAGCUAUUGAAGGUCGUGGGUCACAAAGAUGAUGCAUGGGGAAUCGGCAUUGUUAUUAAAUGAUAGUGAAAAUGUGGUUUUAGCUAUUGCAGCUUGGAAUAUUACUACUCUACCUGACUCAGAUGUAGCUGAAGCUAUAAGAUUCAGAUUGAAAAUUUCAUUUGCUUUGAAUUUAGGGCUUCGUCACAUCAUAUAUGAAAGUAAAGUUUCAUAA